CCUACGGGCGGCAGCAGUGGGGAAUAUUGCGCAAUGGGCGAAAGCCUGACGCAGCGACGCCGCGUGAGGGAUGAAGGUCUUCGGAUCGUAAACCUCUGUCAGCAGGGAAGAACGGUCACGGUGCUAAUCAGCAGUGAAUUGACGGUACCUGCAAAGGAAGCACCGGCUAACGCCGUGCCAACAGCCGCGGUAAUACGGAGGGUGCGAGCGUUAAUCGGAAUUCCGGGGCGGAAAGCGCUCGUAGGCGGUAUGUCAAGGCCAGGGUGAAAUCCCCGCGCUCAACGUCGGAACUGCCUUUGAAACUGCCAACCUGGAGUGUGUGAGAGGUUAGUGGAAUUCCAGGUGU
rnacentral:rRNA from 1 species